rnacentral:piRNA from 1 species
UGCAACUACAGGAGUGGUGUUUUUCAGCUA